UCAUUUGUUAACUUACAUCUCUUUUCCAUAUCACCCCAAAAUCAAAGUGUGGAGAAACAGGAUUGAUAAACAUUGGAAGCAUUUUUUUUUUUUUGAGGACACAACUCAUGCUCUCUAAUAACAUUUCCUUAUUUAGCAAGUAUCAGUUCUAUUGGUAAUGCUGAAGUGUCAUUUUCUUAAGCCUGUUGGAGUCAUUGGAGCACAUCAAGGAGAACAAACAAAACUCAUGGUCAAGAGGCAAGAAGGAUACAGGUGCUGAUGGCCAGACAGAGAGAAAAGCUUGCCAGGAAUAUAAACCUUUCUGUUCUAAAGUAGGAAUACUGUGUCUGUGCUUGCUUUCUCUGUUCUGAAAAUCUAUUCUCUCCAUCACAAUUAAAUCUCAGAUCUGGCCUACCAGUGAACAUUGGGCAUGGAGUAAACUCACUUUUGUACUGGGCCCUACAGUAUACACAGUACCUCGGCAUAGAACUCCAUCUGAUCUUCACAAAGCAGCUGUUGGUGUGUCAGACCUACAGAAGAACCGAAGCCCUGAAAGAAUUAUAUGAGAGUUCUCAUCCUCUGCCUCAUGCCUGUCUCCUGCCAACACUUGAAGGGCCAGUCUUUUACAUGGAAGGUCUGGUGUAACAGGAUGCUGCAAAAUAUAAAAUUCCACAUAGAAAUAAGAAACCAGAGGACAAGCUUCAUACAGGAUGUACAGUUGGGCCUGUUCAGGCUCAAGUAUACCUGAAUGGAGAAAAGCAGACAUGAUUGAAGCGCAUUUAUAUCCACUAAUUAAAAGGUGAGUAUCAGUUCUAACAGCUGGGCCCUGAGAUUGUCACUACAGCAAUUAAAGCAGUGGGCUUUCCACAAUUUGGCGCAUUUCCUUUGCAUCCUACCCAGGAAGGUUACCGAUAAGGUGCCAGCUCCUUGUCUUGGCAUUGAAGGUCUUCCGUCUCUUCCCCAAGCUACCUUUUGGACAUUUGUCUGUUUUUAGUCCUGUGCACACAUGAGAUCCCUGUGGCCCAUGCAGCACCCCUUGUCUGGAAGUUUGCCCUGCUGUCCUCUCUACCUGGUGGCUUUUAUCUACCUGUGGGAAUUUCAACUCUUAAUUCAGCAAGUGUAAUAACACCAUGGCUUAGCUACCUAUCCUAGGCAUUAGGAAAUUCUGUGGUUUUUUUCUUCUGAAGGGAAUGGAUGUCCCCAGCAUCACUCACCUGAGAAAAAAAAUUGCUUCUGGGAAAAGGGUGAGGAGAGAUAAGGAGAGGAACAAAUAUGUAACUUUCUCAGAAUGGGGACAAAUUGGUCCAAAAUUGAAGUUGUGAAGAUUCCCGGAGCCCUUCCGGAAGCCUUUGCCUUUGGAAAAUUGGAAGUAGGUUAGAAGCAAGAAAAGC
rnacentral:lncRNA from 13 species